CUAUUAUCCAAUGAAGAAGAUCUUGACUGUUACUUCUAAUGAAGACCAUGGUUGAUUUAAUCCGUCUUUGCUGAUGAAGAUCUUGGCUGCUACCUUUGUGGGUAAGGAACCUAAUGACUAAGGAUGGAUGCAUGAUGAAUCAAUUAUGGAGUGUAGAAACUUAUAAUGGAUGCUCCCGGCCAAUUUAAGCAUCUCCAUGAUCAUGAGCUCUCUGGUUCCCUAGGAGCAUAGAGACCAAUAAUGGACACACUUGAGAUGAUUCUCUGUGGUUGGCUCCAUUGUUAGGAACAGAGACAUGAAUAGUGGUCACACAAGCUGAUUAAAGCACCUUUCAUUAUUAUGAGCUCUAUAGGAUAUGGAGACCAGCAAUGGAUCCAUUGGACCUGAUUCUUCCAUGGUCACAAGAUGUCUGCUUGUCUCUAUGUGUUUGGUACAUAGAAAGAAGGAAUGCACACACUCAAGGUGGUUUAAGUAGUAUGCCUCGACCAAUGAUCUCUGCAUUUGCCUGUCGGAACAUGGAUACCAACAAUGGGUGCACAACUCCAGUGGGCUGAAGCAUCUCCUGCGGUCACAAGCUCUAUGUUGCAGAGACGAAUAAUGGAUACACUUGAACUUACUUAGGCAUUUGGCUGUGAUCAGGUGCUCAUGGAUGCCCCUGUGUGUGAGAGCAUGAAAGCCAAUGGUGGCUGCGAAGGAAUGAAGUAGUGCUGCGAUGCAGAUGUCCCUUGAAAACAUUGUGCCAAGUGAAAGAAGGCAUAUGGAAAAGAAUGGAACCUCGAGCGGUCUGGCUGUGGUCAAGGUUGUCAUGCUGCUUCCGUGGUGGAAAGAGACCAUGGAUGGACAUCCCAAAGCUGGUUGAAGAAUUCUUGGUUACAAUCUCUAUGAUUGCAUCUCUGAUUACAGAGACCAGUAAAGAAAAUACUUGACCCGAUGUAAGCAUCUGCCAUGUUCAGGCGCUCCAGGCUAGCCUCUCUGUGUGGGAGCAUGAAGCCCGAUAAUCGACACACUCCAGCUGAUAUAAGCAUUUUCCAUAGUCAAAAGGUCUGUGAUGUCCUGUGUGUUCUGAGCAUAGAGAUGAAUAAUGCAUGCACUCCAGCUGCUAUAAGCACUUCCAUGGUUACGAGCUCUCUGGUUGCA
rnacentral:lncRNA from 1 species